rnacentral:rRNA from 1 species
AGGUGCUAAUACAUCGCAAGUCUNGCGGACUUGAUAAGAGAAGCUUGCUUCUCCUUGAUAGCGUUAGCGGCGGACGGGUGAGUAACACGUAGGCAACCUGCCCUCAAGUUUGGGACAACUACCGGAAACGGUAGCUAAUACCGAAUAAUUGUUUUCUUCGCCUGAAGGNAACUGGAAAGACGGAGCAAUCUGUCACUUGGGGAUGGGCCUGCGGCGCAUUAGCUAGUUGGUGAGGUAACGGCUCACCAAGGCGACGAUGCGUAGCCGACCUGAGAGGGUGAUCGGCCACACUGGGACUGAGACACGGCCCAGACUCCUACGGGAGGCAGCAGUAGGGAAUCUUCCGCAAUGGGCGAAAGCCUGACGGAGCAAUGCCGCGUGAGUGAUGAAGGUUUUCGGAUCGUAAAGCUCUGUUGCCAGGGAAGAACGCUUGGGAGAGUAACUGCUCUCAAGGUGACGGUACCUGAGAAGAAAGCCCCGGCUAACUACGUGCCAGCAGCCGCGGUAAUACGUAGGGGGCAAGCGUUGUCCGGAAUUAUUGGGCGUAAAGCGCGCGCAGGCGGUCAUUUAAGUCUGGUGUUUAAUCCCCCGGGGGGCUUCAAACCCCCGGAUUCCGCACUUGGGAAACUGGGGUGACCUUUGAGGUGCGAACGCAGGACGCAGGUNGGAAAUUCCCACGGUGUUAGCGGUUGGACAAUGGCGUUCGAUUUGUUGGCGGAACCACCAGUGGCGNAAGCGAACUNCUCUGGGGNUGNUAACUGA